UUACAGGUGGUGGUAUGUAUCUUUUCACCACACUUUUCACCCCAAUAGGUAGUUGGACCAUCAGUCAUUAUCUUUCAACACAUUGGUAUUGGUCUGUCAAUAAUUACUCUGAUAUAACUUUUAUAGGUUUUUAGCUAUGUUUAUACCCAGAAAUAGAGGUUUUAGCUAAAUUUUGUUUGGUGAGUCUGUUUGAGAUAAUCAAGGUCAAAUGACUUCCUGCUUCCCUGUGUUUCCCGCUCUCCUGGUUACCCCAAUGUGUUGCACCUGUGUCUCAUUAACUCCACUCCCAGUGUGUACCUAAGCUCACUCUCCCCUUCCUUCUGUGCCAGUUCAUCUUGUACCCUCAUUUCAACAUCCCAGCAUUGUUCUGCUUGUGUCUGCCCUAGAGUUGUGACUUGUUUUGUAUUUUGGGCUUUGCCUCUUGCUCUGUGAUUAGGAAACCUUUGCCUGAACAGUUUGAUCUCCUGUGUACAGACCUUUGGCUUGAUUAAACAAACUUUGAACAUUG